AGCUGCACUGCAGUGAAGACAGAAGUGUGUGAAGACAGAUAUUUUUCUCUGAUACCACCUCUGCUCCCAACAGAAGAGAUCACCAUGUUCCUUUCUACUGCUUCUCUCACAGCCCUGCUACUCACUCUCUCUGCUGGUCUGGAAGCUGGUCUGGUACUGACUCAGGAGAAGCCCCUCUCUGUGAACGUGGGAGAUAAUGUCGAAUUAUCCUGUGCUCAAAGCUCUGGCUCAUGGACUAUAUCCUGGUACCAACAGAAGGCUGGAGGUGGACCAAGUUACUUGCUUGCGACAGGUACAAGCUCAGGCAGUAGAGCCAAUGGCCUUCCCAGCAAGUUCACAUAUUCUGGAUCUGCUGGCAACACUCAGUAUCUACACAUCAGUGGAGUUUAGGCUGAGGAUUUGGCAGUGUAUUACUGUGCCUGUGCUGGCUGUGGCGCAAACCACAGUGCUACAGUUUAAUGAGAAGUGCAUACAAAAACCCAAAAGAGGGAUUUAAUAUGGAAUGAAAAGAGCAAAGCUCUAUGCCGACGCAGAGUGUUAACCAGUUUAGUGGGAUAUGGGCUGUGUCUCAUCCAGUGUCUAUAUAAUGACCAUUAUUGUCUGUUUCAUGGAUUUAAGAUCUUUACACCAGGUGAAUGAAGUGUGAAGUCAGAGCAAGAAAAGCACACUUCAGCAUAGAUGUUUUUGUACGGACAUUAAUCACUGUGAGACUCUGGCUUUGGCGCGGAAAUGAAGUCAACAUAGCCCACCCUCCAUCAAAACCCUCUCUGGUCCUGAUGGCCCCAGCCCAGGCCCCUCUCUCUCAAUGGACAAGACCACCCUGUUGUGCCUGGCACAGGGCUUCCACCCUGACGGUGCCUCCCUGUCCUGGUCUGCUGACAGUGGCUCUUUGACCGGCGCAGAAAUCCAGAGGGUGAGUCUCAGCGCCAGCCUGAUGGCACGUACGCCCUGAGCAGCAUCCUCAGCCUGCCCUCCAUACACUGGCGCUCCGGACAGAACUUCACCUGUCGCCUGAGCCACUCAGCACUGACCAACCCAUUGAGCAGGAGUGUGAGCAACAUGCAGUGUUUGAUCUUGGGUCAGUUUUGCAUUUCCCCCACUAAUGGUUGAAGUUAGGAAUGAGGGAGGGGAAGCUGAUCCUAUAUCUGUACCUACGGGAAACGUCACCCUGGAGCAGCAGUGUUCCCUUAGAGCAGUGCUUCUCAAUUAUUUUCUGUUACGCGCCCCCCAGGAAGAAGUAAACAUUUCACGCACCCCAACUCUCCGCCGCGACUGUAAAUAGUAUAAUUUGUCUAUAAAAUUGUUAUAAGUACACCUCUGCAUAACAUUGUAUCCUUAUUAACGUUAAAGAAAACAAAAAAACAAAAAAGAAAGAAAUAUAGAUCAACUUACAACAAAGAAUAACUUUAUUAACAUUGUUUUUUAGUCUGUAACAGAAAAUACUUAAAGUGCAUCAAUUUGCCUGAAAUAUUUUUUUUUAAAUCAAGCCUUAUUUAAACUCUAAACAUUUUUUGACCAUUUGAUACUGAAAAAUAAAAUUAAAUAUAAUCAAGAAAUAAUAAUAAAUUAUAAUUGAUCAGCAACAUUAACUCAGGAGCACAAUAUAUGAAACACUUUGACCUAUAAAACAAAAAUGAUUUGUGCUGAUUUUCUUUUAAUCAAAAUGAGGAAGUCAGGAUUAAUGGCUACAAUGAGCACGUUUUGCAAAGCACAGCUUUUCGAAGCGGGGUUUCAAGCAUGAUACUGCAACUCUCAGCUCCUGCUCAAUGUUUAGCUGGGACCUGUACUUGGUCUUCAGUGCAGCAACAGCAGAGAAGCCAGUCUCACAAAGAUAAGAUGUUGCAAAAGGAAGAAGAAUGCCCAUGGCCCUCUGCCCUAAGAGUGGAUACUGCCUCUCUACACUCAGCCAGAAUUCACUCAGUGUCUGUGAUGUGAACCUCAGUCUCAAUGUGGAGUCAGACGUCAUAUCAAUGAACUGGUCCUCCUCUGCAGAGCUGAAACCAGUUGGAGCUGGUGCAUUGAAAGGAUCUCUCACCCAGUCAUGUUGGGAAGUGUUUUCAGGGAAGUACUUUUUAAAGAAUCCCAUCAGUGAUGAAAUAUGCUCCUUAAUAUAUGGAAUCACUGAGGUGGCAUCAUAGUCAGUAGUGUCAACAAAUUCAUGCAUGUUCUCGAAUGAAUCAGUAUUUCCUUCAUCAAGUCGCCUGCCCCACAUUGCAAGCUUUCGAGUGAAAGAGCUGAUCUUGUCUUUGACCCGAGGGAGGUGUUUAUCUUUCCUUUGAAACUAUAGAUUUAGUUAAUUUAGCUUUCCAAAUAUGUCACUCAGGGAGGCCAGUUUUGCCAGGAAGUUCUCAUCACUACAUUUUUCUGCGAGGUCAUACUUGUGCUCCUGCUCCGAAAACAUUCUUAUCUGCUCUCUGAGCUCAAAAACUCGGGACAAGACUUUUCCUCGUGACAGCCACCUUGCUUCACUGUGAAACAGCAGAGCUUGAUGUUCAGCUCCCAUCUCCUCACAGAUAGCAGAGAAGACUCUUGUUUUUAGUGGUCUGGUCUUUAUAAAAUUGACUACACCUACAAUGUCAGUCAUAAACUCACUUAAUUCAGAGGAAAGGUGCCUUGAUGCCAGUGCUUCUCUGUGUAUAACACAGUGUGUCCACUCAGCUUUAGGUGAGGCCUUCUUGAUGAGUGCCCGAAGUCCUUUUCUCAUCCCUGCCAUGGUCUGUGCACCAUCACUGCAAACACCAAUGCAGUUCUCCCACUUUAGCCCAUUCUCAGUCAGGAAGCAGUCCAGCAUUUUGAAUAGCUUUUCAGCUGUGGCUCUGUCUCUGACAUAUUUACAAAAAAGUAGAUUCUCACACAGGGAGUUUGUCAUGUCAAAACGUACAUAAGCGAUAAACAAACAGUCUUUGUUGCUGUCAGUUGCUUCAUCGAACUGUAAGGCAAAACGUUUGUCUUUGAGUUUAUCUACCAGCUGUUCUUUAAGAUCGUUAGCAAUGUCAUUUAUACGUCUGGCGACAGUGUCAUUGGACAGAGGGAUAUUUUUUAUUUUUGCAGCACUUGCGUCAUCCAGCAUGACAGAGACCAUGUCUAAUGCUGCAGGCAGUAUCAGCUCCUCUGCUAUGGAGUGGGAUUUUUUGCACUGAGCAAUUUGGUACGCCACCUUAUAUGAUGCUAACAGUGCUCGAUGGUUUACUGAAGUAGCAUUCACAAAGCGGGACGAUUGUUGGCAAUAUUCGGCACGUUUUCGCUGAAAAAACUCAAGCGGCUUAUCAGCGUGGUUGGGGUGUAAUGUCUUUAAGUGACGCCUUCAUUUAUUUGGCUUCAUGCUGUCCGCUGCCAACAUUUUUAGACACAGUAAACGUACCGGGUCUUUCCUCGUCUCCCACCAUAGUCACAGUGAAGCUAAGCGCUACAUACGCUUCGUCAUAUUUCCUCGUCUUAGCUUUCGGGAGACUUACGUUUGUCUCAUUAUCUCCGUCUCUCUCCGCCUUUCUUUUCAUUUUACAUUUACGUCAUUUAGCAGAUGCUCUUAUCCAGAACGACUUACAAAUUGCUGUUAAAUAUUUUUCCAUGGUGCCUCUUAAGGGUUUGUUUUCUGCACUUCAUAUCUCCUGCUCUGUGCUGUGUGCUCUUGUUCGGUGCAACAAAACUCUACUCCCUGCGGCAAAAAAAAGCAUGUUCCCCGGGGUCACACGUGCCCCCCCUGGCAUCGCUCUGAGCCCCCCCAGGGGGGUGCGCCCCACUAUUUGAGAAGGACUGCCUUAAAGAGAGCGAGAGAACGAGAGAUAGAACCACUGUUAGUGAGCUUCAUAUGUUUUGGUAGAUUGGCUUUAGAAGAUAUUGCUUUUUUCAUAUAUGUAAUGCUUGUAAUGCUGUAAUGCUUGUGAAGUAAUCCAAGAUGGCGAAUCCAAGAUGGCGUAGCAGUCAGACGUCUUUGUCCUGUCGUGUCCCUUGUAUAUAUCUUUUUACAUCUUUUUCUUCGUAUAUCUUUUAAAUUAUUUUCCUUAACCUCAACUUCUAAAUACUCUCCUGCAACCCGCCUCACCCAACGUGGCGUGGAUCAGUUUUUUGUUCCUAAAGUAUUUCAAUUUACUUCGGAUCUGGAAUCCCUCAACUGAAACUAGCCAGCUAACUACCUACCAGCUAUCAGUCAGCAAACCAUUGCUAGCGGU